rnacentral:rRNA from 1 species
CAGAGGUCUUAGACAUCCUUUGAAAACUCUAGAGAUAGAGCCUUCCCCUUCGGGGGACAAAGUGACAGGUGGUGCAUGGUUGUCGUCAGCUCGUGUCGUGAGAUGUUGGGUUAAGUCCCGCAACGAGCGCAACCCUUAAGCUUAGUUGCCAUCAUUAAGUUGGGCACUCUAGGUUGACUGCCGGUGACAAACCGGAGGAAGGUGGGGAUGACGUCAAAUCAUCAUGCCCCUUAUGAUUUGGGCUACACACGUGCUACAAUGGACAAUACAAAGGGCAGCUAAACCGCGAGGUCAUGCAAAUCCCAUAAAGUUGUUCUCAGUUCGGAUUGUAGUCUGCAACUCGACUACAUGAAGCUGGAAUCGCUAGUAAUCGUAGAUCAGCAUGCUACGGUGAAUACGUUCCCGGGUCUUGUACACACCGAAAA